rnacentral:tRNA from 1 species
GGUGAUAGCUCAGUGGUAGAGCACUUGCCUAGCAUGUGUGAAAAACUGAGUUCAAUCCUCAGCACCA